rnacentral:misc_RNA from 1 species
UUCCGAGUAAACUAAAAUUUAACAUUUCAAUAAUGUAUAGGUAAAAAAUCAACUCCACUAAUAUUUUGACUAAAUAAGAUACAUAGCAAAAUGGCUUUAUGAUGGUUGAAUUAGAAAAAUAGCUGUUAAUGUAUUAAAUCAAUGGGCAUGAUUGAUCAUAUGGCAUUAUUGUUUCACUGAAUACAAGUUCUCUUGCCAUUUGUCAAAGAAUUUUUCUUCAGAAUUGAUAAUAUGAAUACAAGUUCUCUUGCCAUUUGUCAAAGAAUUUUUCUUCAGAAUUGAUAAUAUGAAUACAAGUUCUCUUGCCAUUUGUCAAAGAAUAUUUCUUCAGAAUUGACUAAAAUAUACCUAUAUAAAUAUUUAGGGAGACAUAAUGAAGGAGUACAUAUGGCACAUGCUCUGCUACUUUCAAAAAUUGAGGUAUAUGGUUGAAAAAAUUUUGUGAGAAUAAUUUUAUUCUUUUGGCUUCUUACUCAUGGCUUUACGCUUAUUAACAUCCAGGUAUCUUUUUCUUAGCCGAAUGGCCUUAGGUGUGACCUGCAUGUACAACAGAAUAUCAGAAAUGCUGUAGGGAGCCACAAAAGAAGAUGCAAUAUAAUCAAUGGAGGAUGUUCUGCGCCAGUCAGCAAGAACAAUGAAGCAAUGCUGCUGAAAUAUGUUUAAGAAAUAUGAAUUAUACGACUAUACGCAAAAUCAGUGGAAUGGCCUAAGAUAUUUUAGAACAAUCAAAUAUGCUUUAAGGUUGUCCCAUAUGCCAGAAAUGGAAAAGCAAAAAUAUUAAGUACAACUCACCUCAAUGAGUUCAUCAGAAGCAACAUACCCGAUGGCUUCUUCUAGAGUCAUCUGCAUAUGGAUGCAUUCUAAUGUCAUUAGCAUAUCUCAAGCGUAUAGUUUAAGCUGUUUAUCACAUAUCAAAACCUGCUUCUCUUUCCUAAUUUCCAUUUGUGGAUUUUUAUUCCUCAAGCAGCAGCAAUGCGAACUUUUAUACAAAUUUCCCGAACACUGAGAAUAGAUUCUACAAAAACACUUCUAUUGGGUUCUGUCUAGUAAGAGUCUCCUACUUACAGACCACAUGAAUGCACAAAAAACCAUAUUGCAGGGGAAAAUUAUUUAUGAAUUACGUGGUCAUUGAAUCAUCUUCAUUUUUAACUGUAUUAAAUUCCUGAUUUCUUUUCUUUCCAACUCUUUUAUUUUCUAAUACUCUUUUGGUGUAGCUUUUGCAUACAACCCAUGCAAUUGGCUUAUUCCCUUUUAUUUUUUUUAUUUAUCUCAUAUAUCAUUUAUCAAGAAAUUGAGAAUGAAUGAGUUGUGAAUUGGACUUUUUUGUUAGUAUCGUGUCAAGAUGCUUUACAUCAAUGGUGCAAGGAUUGGUAACUCGUUAAUAAGAACAGAAGCAAUCAAUAAAACCGCAAAGUUAGCCAUUGCAUACCAGGCGAGGUGGAGAUAGUCUCACAUUCUCGUCUUUGCUAGCGGCACGCACAUUAGUAAGUUCCUUGGUCCUAACUGGGUUAACAUCAAGAUCUGUAUCCCGUGAAUGUUCACCAACAAUCAUGCCAUCAUAUGUCUGCAAAAUAACAAACAGAAAGUGAGCAAGUAUCACUGGUGAUUAGAGUAAUUAAAAGAUGUCAAGAUUGACAACAGGGAAAACUUUCCAUAUAUAGAUUUACAUAAUCAUCAUAUGAGGGAACCACUCAUCAAUGAAUGUACUGCAUAGUUAUGACAAUAUGUUAUACAAGUUGACAUGAAUCAACUCAAAAGGAUGCAUGAAUCCAUUUACCCAUACAAGCCUACCAUUAGGGAAGCAAGCAGUGCAAUGUAAAGAAUUUCUUUAUAAAUUGAGAGAAGACUACAUGAACUCAACUAUGCUAGAAGUAAACAGAAACAGAAAGACAAACUGUCAGGGAAGAACCUCCAUUCCAGGAGUAACGAAGAGUGUUCCACGAGCUUCUAAACUCAUUAAUGCAUGUGCUGUGAUUGUACCAUAGCCCAUUGAUACCAAUACCCCCUUCCUAACAUUUCCAAGUGGGCCCCGAUGUUUUGCAUAGUUCAGGAAAGCCCGAUGCAUAAAUCCUGUUCCACGAGUGUCACUGCUGAACACACUCCUAUAACCAACCAGACCCCUUGAUGGAGAAGUCAAAGACAAUCUAGUCCUGCCAACAUGUCCAGGAACAGGACCCAUAUCAACAACUUCUGCUCGCCUAUGAGAUAGAGCCUCCAUAAUUAAUCCCACAUGCUCUUCAUUUACCUCAAUGGUUACUUCUUCAAUUGGCUCAAGUUUCUCACCUUUCUCAGUUUUAUACCUGAUUCAACAAAGGAACACUAUUCAAGCAACCAAAAACAAGUGCACUCAGAAAGGUGGUGACAGUAGUGACAGUCAUACUGGUUAACAGUUUUCCACAUUCAAUGGCCAGUUUUAAAGCUUUUAUGCUUGAAGCUGCAACUUCUUUGUCGCAAGCCCAAGACAUUCAUCAUUGCACUAGAGAAUGGCCUUUAAUGUGGUUUAAACUGUGAAAUCAAAUAAUAUGCAUAGAAAGGUAAUUAGUAAUUGUGUAGAAUGUAGUAGCAAACAUAUAGAGUCAAGACCAAAUUGACCUCGUAGAGCAAGUUGUUUUGAAGGCAUACAUAUAAGCAUGCAUGCCUAACCCAGUAAAAGUACCAGCAACACAUUAAAUGCUCCACAGAAUGCUCAAUUACUUAUUGGCCAUUGUAUAAAUACCAGAAUACAUAAGAACAUGCAUGAAUAAUUAAAAUAACUUACAGCCUCCAGGAGGAUUAUUUAUAACUACUAGCACCAAAUCGUGCAUUCAAAUGUCCAAUGCAAAAAUUCAUCGUUUGUCACAUAUGUAUAAUUAUUUCUUUUCCUUCUUUAUCCAGUUUGAAUCAACACUUGCAUUUAUAUUUACAUUUCAGUGUUUCAGAAUCAAAUCAAUUUUUUCCUUUCAAACAUGUAAAUUACCAAUAGAAACUAGAUUGGCAUAUUAAAUGCGUUGCUUGCUCAAGCAUCCCAAGAAACUCACAUAACUUUUGGUGGUGAGACAGACAGCUCAAAUCCUUCACGCCUCAUAUUCUCAAUCAAAAUUCCAAGUUGAAGUUCCCCUCUCCCUUGUACCUCAUACGAUUCUGAUAAGCCAGGAAUCACAUUUAUGGCAAGGUUAGUUUCAGCUUCAGCCAUUAACCGAUCACCAAUUUUUCCUCCUGUCAAAUGGGUACCAUCUCGGCCAGCUAAUGGAGAGUCAUUUACACCAAAGGUCAUGGAUAUGGUUGGAGGGUCCAAUUCAACAGUUGGUAAUGCAUUCAUAACCUCCACAUUUGCCACUGAAUGACCUAUUGAUGGACUUGUCAUCCCUGCCAUUGACACUAUGUCACCAGCACCUGCACUAUCAAUGAGAACCAUGUUUGUGCCCUUCUUCUUCAUUAGCUUCAAAACCUUUCCUUCUUCAAUUUUCACAACACCAGAAUCUGUGCUACGUAGUCCAUGUAUCCUAUCCCCAACAUGGAUGACUCCAGAAGCAACACGUCCAGUUAAGAUCCGCCCAAGAUAAAAGUCUUUUUCCAUCAUGGAAACCAGCAUCUGAAAAGGUGCAUCAAGGUUUCCUUUUGGUGACGGAACAUGUGCUACGAUGGCAUCAAGCAACUGUGACAUGUUCUUUGCAUUAGCAGGAGGAUCUUUCGUGAAAGUAGAGGAUGCCCACCCUUCUUUGGCAGAAGCAUAAAGAACAGGAAAAUCCAGCUGCUCCUCUGUAGCACCAAGAUUUGCAAACAGAUCAAACACGAGGCUCUCAACUUCAUUACACCUCUCCUCAGAAACUGCAGGCCGAUCUACUUUGUUCAGAAGUAGAAUAGGGCGCAGCCCAUACUUCAAUGCUUUAGCAAGAACAAAUUUUGUCUGUGCAAGUGGACCUUCACCAGCAUCUACAACUAAAAUUGCUCCUUCAACCAUGCCAACAACCCGCUCAACUUCACCACCAAAAUCAGCAUGCCCAGGUGUAUCAACCAUGUUUAGUUCAUUUUCUUUCCAUGAAAUGGAUGUAACCUUGGAGGCGAUGGUGAUGCCACGCUCGCGCUCCAGGCUAAUGGAAUCCAUGGCGCGUUCAUGGGGGAUGUCAGCGCCGCACUGCCUCAACAAACGGUCCAUCAGUGUCGUCUUCCCGUGAUCGACAUGAGCUAUCACUGCAACAUUCCGCAGGCGGCUGGGGUCCAAGGAGGAAUUUGGUGCUGCGGCGGCGGUGGCGGGCGCAGCCGAGAAGGCUCGUGUGAUGGCAGUGCAGCGUGGGAGAAACGGGGCCACGCCAGAGGAAAGGUAGUGCUUAGAUAGAAAGGAAGAGCAGGGAGAAACAGAUUUUCUGGCGGAGGAUAAGAGAGUGCGAAUCAAAGGACCCGCCAUCUCUUUAGACAGCAAUGGCUCACAGGUUUCCGGUGUUUUAGUUACGACUUGGGACUACUUAAACAUGGGUGGGU